GGCGAGAUGUGUGAGUGGUCUAAACAGCUGUCUUAAGGUGUUGUCGUCAUGUGGCACUGGUAAAAACGGCAGUCCUCCGGGGCGUGGGUUCGAAUCCCACUCUCGUCA
rnacentral:tRNA from 2 species